rnacentral:tRNA from 1 species
UAUCGCUUGGCUUGGGAUCAGCCCGCGCUCACAUUGCGGGCCGGGACGGGCCGGGAGCGCGGAUCUUUCAGCGCUGCCC